UGGAAGUUAGCAAAGAAUGCAAAAUUUGACCAUAGCUAAUUUAUUUCUAAUACAUAUGGAUAUAUUGUCUUAGUAUUGCAUUAGUCAUUUAGACUCAGCUCUUCAAAGACAUAAGACUUUGCCCCUUAAGUAAUUGCCAUUUAGCCCUUUAUUUAUUAAAUAUUUUAUCAUGAGUUAAAUAAUUUGAAGUCUAAAGAUGAAUUUGAAAAAUUCUUUACUAAGCAUGCUGAUUUUGUGGGAUGUUUUGCCUCAUUAAGAAUUUCAAAAUAAAGGCCGUAUGUAGGGAAGAUCUAAUCAGAAACAUAGUAAGGGACCAUGAGAUCACACACUAAUCCUAUCAUAAGGAUAAAAUUGAGUCCAUUUUUUGACUGAAGUGAUGAAUUUUUUCUGGCUUAAUAUUGCUGUGUAAAUUGGUUAGUUACACAUUUCAGUGGUAGAAGAUGUGAUAUUUGAAUGCAACUUUUAUUGACUUCUUAAGGGCCCGGCGAUGUUCCCAUUGGCAGUGUUCCUACUAACUUCAGUCCGGACAAAAAUGGGCCCUUGGGUAUCUAGUUCUUUCUUGCUUUCAUUUGAUGUGUGAAAGCUCAAUUUCAGUGCUAAUAUGUUUUUUAGUAAUCUAUAACCUAUAAAAUGCAUUUAUGACAUAGUAAUGACUUAAUGACUUAAUUGCAAGUAUUAAGAAUUCAAUUAUUUUAUUGAAAACAAAAAUAAUCAGCUGUUAAAUUUAAUGAUUGUUUUCCAUAUUGCUGUCUAUAGCUUUCUGGAACAGUUCUGUCAAAUUAUUUUUACUUCAAUGAAAUUCUUAUUGGAAAAUGCAUGAGUUUUCUAGACAGAAUUAUAGAUAAAAUAUGCACAUUAAGAACAACAGGCCGGAUCCUUCUGCAGACAACUGUGCUCUGUGCACAAAAUAAAAUAAAAAAUAAACUGCAAAGUAAAGGUGAGCUGUUUGAUUCCACAUAAUAUGUUGGGGGAAAAAAAAAAAGUGUAAGGCAAAAAACCAAAAAGUAAAAUUGAAAAUGCACAAAAAUCCAGUUUAUAUAACUAGGAUGUUUUUAAAACAUUAAUACUAUAAACUGUAUGAAGUUAUCAACACAGAGUAUUUUCAAAAUAUUUCCACAAGAACUGACUGCAUUGCACACAAUAUUUGUAUGAAGAUAAACUAAAAAUAUCCACCCUCAAAAAGACCAGACAUCACCAAAUUCAAUCACCAAAGAAAACAGCCCUUAAAACCACUCAAAGUUAUAACUCAUCAAAAUGUAAUAACUCAUUGAAAUGAUUUAACCACGAAAUUUGAAACAUAUAUUCCCUGCGCAGUGUAAAAUAAUAAGGUUUCUAAUACUGCAGCAAGGCAUAAAAACUUAAGUCAAACAAUAAAGAUAUUCCGUCUUUAAAAAUAAAUAAAUAAAUAAAUCAGUGUGAGAAUUUUCUUUUACUUCAGAUGCAUCAAAUGCACUGAAUAGUCACUUUUUCCUUUGAUGCAAUUUUCAUCACAGCUAAGCAAGAUAUUUAUAUUUGGGAAGAAAAGAUUCAGCAGAAUAUUCAUUCUUUGGAAGCAUGUGGUUCAAGUUAUUUGAUGUUAAUAUAGGCAUUUCUUAUAAAUUUGAAACUAGAAAAAAGUACAUAUUAUUGAAAUUUUAGUUUAGUUUGAGUCAUAUCAUAAAUCAUACAUCAGAUUCUGCUUUGUAUUAUCUGAUAAAAUACAAAUGAAUGUGCAGCACUUUAUAUAACCAGACAAAAGCUCACGUAACCACUUAUAUCACUAAUAGUAGUUCUAUAUCUGAAUUUAAAAAAAAACAAAAACCAAACCAAAACAAAACAAAGCCAACAACAACAACAAAAAAAAACUUUAAAAUUAUGUUACAGGAAAAUUUAACAUAAAUGUAAUUUUACUGUUGAUUCAACUAAAGAAUUUGCCAACCUGAAAAAAAAAUGCAUUUAAAUGAUUUAUAAAUUUUGAAUUAAAUUUUGCAAUGAGAAAACUGUACCACAGCUGAAGAAUAUCAGUAUUUUGAAUAGUCCUGCUUUUAAUUUUAGUAAAAAGCAACUGGAAUAACAGUUUUACUACAGUUGUGACUAAAAAAGUGAAAAUUUCACUUAAGAUUAUUUGCAAAGAGAACAAAACUGCCAUGCAAUAAUUUUGCAUUAUUAAAUGUGGUACUGUAUUUAUUAUUUUACAACUGAAGAUAUGUAUCUGGUAUCAAGAGAUUUGUAAGGACUGUUUUAAUUUUCACAGAUAUAUUUGAUAUGUGUUUAUUUAUGUACUUGAUUGCUAUUAAUUACCAUUAUUGCAGUGAAAUUAUAGCAAAGUUGAAUUCAAGGUACUUCUUAUGUGACAGUACUUCAAAUGUAAAAAGCAGAGUUUUAAGAUGUAAGAAUGUUAAUAUUCCUUAAUCUAUAUUCAACUGUUGCAAACUUGAUUUGGGCCUGAUCAUUUGUUCCUAGCAACUCCAAAUCAGCAUUUAUAUUUCUAUACUAGACAAUUCUAUGUCUUUUAUGACUGAAGUGACACUUUUGUGAUUCUGUGAAUAUGGCAUUCUAUCCAGUACUUCAUUACAGGUGUAAAAGUUUUCAAAACACAAAUGGAAAUAUUCUCACAUCACAGUAAAGACAUUGAUUAUUUAAGAAUAGAUAAAAUAAUAAUAAAUAAAUAAAGACAAGUAGAAGUAUAUGCAUACAAAUACAGGUAUAUAUAUGUAGACAUACACUUCCAUAUAUAUAAAUACAAACACAAAUAUGUAUUUCUUGUGUUGUUGUUUCUGUUUGUUUGUUUGUUUGUUUUGCUUUGUUUGUUUGUUUUUAGAAUGUAGAUGGUAAAAGAAGAUAUUAAUCUACUUGGUAAUUAAACUGUUUUCCUUUUUAUUAGGAAACGUACUAGAUUUUCAUGUUUCAAGAAUUACUUUAAGAAUUAAUCUUAGUUAUUACUUUUAUUUAAAUGCAUUUUUUUAAAUAAAGCUAAUAUCAUGUCUAUGACAUCAAUAGUUGUCCCAUUUCCCAAAUAGGAAAAUAAACCUUUUUGUCACAUAAUAUGUAUGAAAAUAACAGAAUGUAUUAAUAAUCUGAUGCUCACAGAAUCAGCUAUAUUGUUGAAAUCGUGAAAAUAAAAUUUUGUUAUUAUAUUACAUAUUAAACUAGACAUUUAUUAUUUCAACUCUUGCCCCAGUCAGGAUGUAUUUUUGGAAGGCUGCCGAGAAGCCUGUCAUGAUAUACAAUGGUUAAUCAUGUGUACAAACAGAAAAACAAAAACAAACAUAAAAAGCAACAAAAAGCAAUAAAAAGAAAACAAAACAAAAACUUCACCUUCAUUUAGUUUGAUAUGAUCUACACUUGUCUUAAAAAAACUAUACAUAUUUUAAAUAUGAGGCUGCAAAUGUGGUCACAUGUUCCAUGGGAAAAUAAACAACAGCAGAAAACAACACAAAAUCCCCACAACAAAUGAAAACAAACAGACAAACAAACAAAAAACCCUAAAAUUUAUCAAACCCAUUUCAAGGUUUCAGUAACCAAACCCACAGCAUUAAAUAAAAUACAUUGUGACUUCAUAUGGUCUAUCAUACUCAAAGGCCACACCUGUAUAUGUGGAUGUAAACUGAACUUCUACAUGUUAUUGGGACACAACAGUUCCAAGGUCAAUUUUACAGUGCUAUGCUACAUAAAUAUUCAGUUGAUUUUUCAGCAGAUUGGAAAUAGAUGUAAUUCAUUUUGGGGGUACAUAGCAGAACAACAAACAUUUACCACAACUAUAUUCAAUUUUCUUGCUUUACAAAAUAAUUAUGUCAAGAGAAUGGUUUAUUUCAAUGAAUUAAAGCCAAACUCAUAAAAGCAAGGUAGAUGUUUUGUUACUUGCUUAAGCAAAUGGAAUCUGGUUUUACACAAAUGCAAAAUGUGGCCCAUUAGCUGUAAUUUAAUUUGAUCACCAUUUAAUUAGAAACUUCAUUAGACUUUAUUUCUUUGUAUAUUCAAUGACUUAAAUGCCUCUGGUUUCAAGGACCAAAAUGCAUCUCUUUGUGCUUCCUAACUCUGUUCAGUGUUUUAAGAAUUAAAGAAAACAUUCCAAAACAUAAUUGUGCAUAGUAUUUCUUGAGUAAUAUCUUACUACUAGGUACUCUGAAAUGUAGAUAAAGAAUAAUAAUAAUAAAAAAAAGUAAAUAUUUGUGAUAUUUAUAUUAGGAUAAUAUUUAAACAUAAAGGGAUAAACAGAAAUCCAAAAGACAGUAUUGCUUGACUGAGAGAUUUAUGUGCUCUCAUUCCAGCAGAGCACAUUACAAAGCUUCUUUAAAAGUUUGAGAAAAUAUGCAAACAUACAAGUAAUAUGGCUGCCAUGUUCAGAGUGCUGCUGAUCUGUCCACUAUUCUCACAGAACCACCUUAUUCAUCUGCUUCUUCAUUCGUUUAUCACUCUUUGGUUCAAGGUUAUGCAUUUUUCCAGAGUAAAAGGAUGUUGCAGAAAGGAGGUACAAGUUCCCUACAAUCAAAUAAUUUAUACUAACAUGAAGAUCGCUUGAAGACUGAUGGCCAUGGAAUUGCACCUGCCACUCACUCUCACCUCCCUCCGUUUUUCUUGUUUAAUGCCAGUAGUGCCAAUAACAUUCUCAAUUCUGUAUGAGAUAACCAAAUAUAUAACCCAGCUUUGUUAGAGACUUUUACAGAGACUUUUCAUUUCAGUAUGUCAGUUUUUACUCACAUGAAAGUCUGUUUAGACUCCCCAGAGACACUGGGCAAUAUGAAGAACCUGCCCUCUAAAAAUGAAGAAGUUCUUGUUUACCCUGUCAUCAAGUCAGAUCCUUCAGGAUGUGCUUUAACAGACUGCCUCUGCACUGAGUUUCUGUAAGAAAUACACAACACACUGGCCAGGUAUUUGAGCUCCAGAUAAAUAAAUGUCUAAAUAAUCUACAAAAUCAGGAUGCUGCUUUCAUCUUUUACCAAUAACCGUGAUUGCCUAUUAGUGCCUUUUCAGAUAUAUUUUCUCAUAUGUGUUUUCAGUAGGUCAGAGCCUUAUUUUUAAUAGUAUUUUAGCAUGAUUUUUGCUAGAUUACUUUUAUAAUUAUUAUGUGAUAUUAGAAAAGUACCACUACACCUAAUAUGUAAAGGAAUGCACCUAAGAAUAGACUACAUUAUGAAAAAAAAAAAAAAAAAAAAACUGCAGGAAAACAUUAGAAAAUUAAACACAGCAGUACACAGAAUCAUCCACACAAGCCUUCUACAAACACAAGUAACCAUUAAACCAUUAGUAGGCAAAUCUAAAAAAUAAGUAAAUAAAAGAGAGUUUGGGUGCUAGAAGUAUUGGAGAGGAGAGGAGAGGCUACAGUGACAAAUCAGGAUUCUCUUUCAACUUUAAAUUUUAUCAUAGAAAUCCAAGAACUUCUGGGGGGAAAAAAAAAACAAAACAAAAAACGCCACAUGAAUGAUUCAGUUAGCUCAAUUUUUGUACAAUUGUUUCUUUUAUAUUAAACAAAAAGGGAGGGGGGCUGGGGCAGGGGGGGGGAGUAGAGGGGGAAUAUAUCUGACAGCCAGUCUAAAGCAAUCUGAUAAUGAGGCUAAAACAACAAGAAUAGUAUUCAGAAAUCUCAAAAUAGGGAUAUAUAUUUCUUUUUCUUCUGAUACUUUUACCCCUUUGGUCAGCACUAACUCAGCAGAUCAUCAUGCAGAAGGUUUCACUGAUCUUCCUAACAAAACAGAGGUCAAAUUUGUAUACAGUGUUUUUCUUCAAACAGCUUUUCUUAUAUUUUCAGAUCAGAAGCACAUCUCCUUUUGUCAAGUGACAUAUCCAUUUGCAUUUUCUUACUAUAAUUUUCCACAGAUUAUAUACAUCAUUGUAGUUACUGAGUGGGAAAGCUUACUUCCAGUAAAGCCUUCAUUCACAAGUAGCCCUUUCAGGUGUAUUUCAAGAUAGUUAUAGGCUGCAGAAUAUUUUGCACUCCGCAACUUUUUUUAAGAAUCUGUCCUUAAGAAUGCACAUUCUGAAGGUAAUUGAUGUUGUUUUUUUUUUUCUUCCAGUAAUGAAACUGAUAAUAUAUUUUUCUACUGAAGAUAAGAAGUCAAAAUGAUGUAAAUUAACUGUUCUCAUUUUAGCAUAGACCCUAAGAAAAAAAAUUCAAAACCAGUUAUUAAAUGUUCGUAAAAAACUUGGAAGCAGCAAUACUACUGGCCUCAGAAAUUGCAGCAUCAGAAUGCAAGAAUAAACAGACCGAUGAGGAAUUUUUAUCAGCUAUUUCUUAUAAAUUCAAGCAACUCCUGUUCAUUUACUCAUUUGUGGAUGCUGCCUCUUUGUGGCAGAAUGCCACGUAAAAUAUACCUUUCACAUUAGGAACCCAACCCUACAUUUGUAUUGACUCCUGUGCAAACUCCCCUCUAUAAGUUUAAACUAAAAGGGAAAUAUAUAUAUAUAUAUACAUAUAUAUAUAUAUACAUACACACUUGAAAGGGUACAUACUGUUUGCAGGACUGUCAUAUUCAGUCUUUAUUGAAUAAGCCUCCCUCUUACUCAGUGACAAAGCUGUGAGGCUGAAAAUUUCCUUACUUAUGCCCAUUUAACAACAGUGUGCUUCAACCAAGCCUAAAUGAAAGGAGAAUGAGGCCACCAGUUUCAGCAAUAGUUAGAAAAAUUGUAAUUCAAAAUUAGGGCUCCAGAACUGCACCUCAGGUGGUGAUACUUUUUCACUACUGACAAUGGGAAGUCUGCAGGAAAUCAAGAGCAGUACAGAGAAUAGCUGAGUUGUUUCUCUUGUGGCAAAAGAACACUCCUAGUAUCCACAUUUCAAACUGAAAUAAUACUCCACAUUCUGAACUGUCCAAGCUAAACACAGUCAUGAGGUUUUUUUUGGUGUUUGUUUGUUUGUUUGUUUGUUUGUUUUUGCUUUUGGUCUGUGUGGAUGUCAGAGGGAAGAACACAUGGGAACAAAACAUUUGUCUUGAAUUCCAGUUAUGUACUUUUUUUUUUUUUUUUUUUUUGGUAGAAAGUGACAUAUUGCACAUGGAUAGGUAAAGCACAACAGAACGGAAAUCAUUUGCAAGAAAAUAUGCAUUAGUGAGCAACUCUGCAAACAAAAGCGAACAUGAUAACCUAUACAAGAAAGAGAAAACUCCACAUGAAAUAUACCCUGUUCCAUAUAUUCAAGAACAUUUUAUCAAAGAAACAAAAUGUAAGUACGAAACAAUCCUAUUCAGUAUGUUUGUGAAACACAUUUAUGUGUUGCUCUGACCCAUGUUAUGUAUGCUGGCAUUUACCGUAUAUUGUGUUUUCAUAGAAUCACAGAUUCAUAGUAUCGUAGAAUUAUCAUAGAAUCACAGAAUGGCUUGGGUUGAAAGGGACCUUAAAGAUCAUUAAGUAUCAACUCUCUUGCCUUGGGCAGGGUUGCCACCUACAAGUUCCAGUUUAAAUAACAGAUUUUUAAAAUAAAUAAAUAAAAAAAAGACACAUUAUGCCUAAAAAGUGCUAUAAGUUUCUGAUGAAGCAUAACUGCUAGUAAAGAGAAUCCAAUACAUAAACAGAUGAUUUUGGCAAGAAAUUUUAAACUUCAGAUACUCAUUAUUUCGUGUUCUUACAUUUGAAAUAUUUAUCAAGUGUUUAUUCAGAAACUAUUAAAAAAAAUCACAUGUGCUGGGAUACAUACGAGAGAAAUUUCUUGUCCCAUCUUACAGUGACACUGUGUUUAUCAAUAUCUUUGCCAUUGCCUGCUGCCCAAAGGGGUAAAGACGUUGGGGAUAGGUGUGUACAGCCUAUCAUAUGGUCUUUCAGGGUGCCAGUAAACAUGAGGAUCUGUACAAGUGCAAUUGUACUUCACUAAACAAUCAGAAACUGGCUACAACCACUGUCAAAACAUUAUAUAUUUUUAAAUUAAAAAAAAAAAGAGAGAGAGAGAGGGGAAAAGAAAAAACAAAAACUGACAAAACAAUGUUAAAACACUUUUCCCCAUUAAAAAAGAAUUCAUUUUACAUGUCCCACACUAGUUUGCUCGCCUGAGCAGGAGGCUGCUAAAAGGUACAUUUUUAAAUAGAAAAUAUAUAUAUAUAUAUGCUUUUUGCUAUUGUGAUCAGAUUAUAUGUGUUAGAUUGUCUGUUACAAUUUGGCCAAAACUGACUUAAUCUAUAAUGAUCUAAAAGGCUCUCCUUGUACUACAUCAGCUCUGGGAAGAAAAACAGAAAAUCCCUCAAUAUAAUGAACCACUUCAGAACAAUCCAUAGACUUUGGACCAUACCCUGGAAAAACAAAAACAAAAACAUGCCAGUAAUUAUACAUGUAAGAAUAGCUCUGCAUUCUUUACCUUAAUCUUACAGUCCUUGGGGCAUUUGACUAACUUUGCUCAGUGAGUGAGUCUACAGGACUACACAGAUGAGUAAAGUUGUUUAUGUGGUUAAGUGCCUGCAGUAUGAAAGUCUAAGCUGGGACAUCUUUCACAAGUAACGAUACUCAAGUCAGUAAGAAUUUAGGUCUUAAAACAGUGAAGGAAAGAGAAAUGCUAAUGCGCAUAUAAAAAUAGGUGCUACAAUAAAAUAUUUUUUUUCAUAUUUCAUCAAUAAGUUACUUCCACUAACCAGUUAUGGAUCAUAUAUCUCUGUACUCUUUAUUUGUCCACAUCUACAGUGAUCCUUUUAAAGAUCAUAAUAUAUAUAUAUAUAUUUUUUUUUAAUUCAAAAGUCCAGAAAGCAUACAAACACAUCCUUAAAAAAAGGAAACCUUGUAUUAAAGUUGGGGUGUGCUAAUCUCUCCAUAAAAGCCAUUUAGACUCACCCAUGGCUAAAAGGGGAAAAUGUGCGCUGUAUUCUCCAACCAGAAAGAAAAUAAAAUUGAAUGAUGUUGCUUGAAAAGAGAGGAAGGAAGGGAGGCAGGGAGGCAGGGAGGCAGGGAAGAGGGAAGAGGGAAGAGGGAAGAGGGAAGAGGGAAGAGGGAAGAGGGAAGAGGGAAGAGGGAAGAGGGAAGAGGGAAGAGGGAAGGGAAGGGAAGGGAAGGGAAGGGAAGGGAAGGGAAGGGAAGGGAAGGGAAGGGAAGGGAAG
rnacentral:lncRNA from 1 species